UUAUUUAUCGUAGUAAGUAGUAACCACACAACUUUGUUGGGAAAUGGGUAUUAUGCAUUGAUCAAGUAACUAGUGACUAUAGGAGUAGUUGAGGAAGGAAGGUUUGAGAACACAAACAAUCUUCAAAAUUGCAUCUGGUCACCUAGUCUUCUCCUGUGGAUCAAAAUUGUUGUUCAUCUUAGCAGCAAGUCAAGAAGACCUAAUUACUAUUUCGGUGCUCGUCCUUAUAUGUUCCUCCGACGUUUUGGUUGGGAACGACACUAUCGUUCAAUCAUUUUUCUCCAUUGGAUCAAUCAAAAUACUGAGAUGGUGAAAUGUGGCUAACGAAUCAUCAGAAAAACUGGAUACCAACGAACCCCUGCAUGUUACCAUCCUCUCUACUUGAUGCCAUGAACCCUUGCUCUGUCCUUCGCCGAUGGCGACGUUGCUGGCCGUCGUCAUCACCAUACAACCAGUUGUCAAAGUCACAAAACCAAAGCAUCUCCGAUCAAAAUUGUUGAUCGCAGUAGCAAGACAGUUAAGAUAAUAUUCAACAUUACUUACUCUCAUCAAUUUUUUGUUUUCUUAUUCAACAUCUCUAUGUAUGUGUCUGCAUUGUUCCCUUAUGUUAUGCUUUCAAAUUUUCAAUUGUGAUUUGCAUAUAUUGAUCUGAUGGUUUAUGACUACUUUCAAAUUUGUAAUAGAGCCACAUAAAGCUACAACUUUUGGAGGGGAUGUACAAAGAACCUUAUUUAAGUUUCUAACCAGAUUAGGCGGUCCAGUGGGUAGGAUACUGGUGGUGAAAACCAAUAAGUGGGUAGGAUACAGUUGCCAUCGACACCGAAACCGACACCGGACACAUUAAAUUACAAUUUAAAAAGUCUUAAGCUCUACUAAACCCAACAAAGAUGAAAAGAGCUUUAUUAAAAAGUAAAUAUGGAGCAACAAACUCAAGGUUGUAUAUAUGGUUUAUAUGGCCAUAGAAGGAAUAUGAGCUGUUGGUAUCAAAUACAAGUCAUCUUUUCUUUUGAUGCUCAAUCCAAAUUGCUCACUCAUGUCCAAAUCCUCACCUUUCAUUCCAUUGGGAAGCUUCCAAUCAAAAUGAUACAACAUCAAUGCAAGUGCCAUCUCAACAUUUAUCAAACCAAAUGUGUUGCCUGGGCAUAUUCUUCAAACUUCUUAUGUUGCCUUUUCUUAAGUCAGGUACGGGACAAACUUAAAACGUCAUUUUAACCGACUUAAAAAGCGUUUCUUAAGUCAGGUCCAAAUCAGACUUAAGAAGUCAAUACUUCUUAUGACUGGAAUUGUUAGGUCAUGCUCGGAACCGACUUAAGAAGUCGAUUCUAACCGACCUAAGAAGUGUUUUUUCCACUAGUGAUUCAACGAAGGUUUUGGCUUGAUCAUGAAGCUAUGCCUUCUUAGUUUCUUUCUUUUUAAUAUUUAUUGUUCGCCUCAAAUUAUUGCUUUACUAAUCAAUUUCAAUCAUCAAGUAUUUAAACCGCAAUUGUCUGUAAGGUGUCAGCUCACGGUAAAAGCUUAGCUUGUAACCUACGUGUUUGAUUAACUUAUUUGAGUUUAUCUACUAACAUAAACACUUACGACAUUGUCUGAGAGAAUGUUCAUAAGUUGUUUUCAGCUUAUUUUUCAUAACCUCUCCAGGUUAGAUUAUGAGAAUAACACAGAUUAUAUGAAAAUAGAAAUAGCUUAUUCAUAAAUGCUUUAUAUAAUAAGCCUUUAUGCUAUAAACUGCAACAUAUGUUAUUUAUCCACAAAAGUUUUUUUUUUUUUUUUUUUGACGAACAUAUCCACAAAAGUUUUAAAAUGAAUGUUCAGUGUCUCUUUAAUUAAUUUUAAUGUCUCCUAUGUCAAUUUAAACAAAGAUUUAAUCCUUGAUUGCACUUGUUUCAUGAACCUUGAUACUGAAGAGAAUUAUGGUCAAAUAGAAUUUGAGCGUUGCAUAAUCUGCGGCUACUGACUUGUUGAAAUACAUGUAUGUGUCUGCAUUGUUCCCUUGUGUUGUGCUUACUUUCUAUGUACAUUGUUCCCUGAUCAUUAUUAACGAACAAUACUUAGAUAGUAAUUUUGGGUCUGUCGAGAAUCUCAGGGAAGCCAGUCGUAAUCCAGUUGCUUAUCCUCGUAAGGAAAAGGUAAAUUAAGGCACAUUAAUACAAUUGGAGCAGAACUUAAUUGUUUUAUAAUUGGUUCUGCAUAAUCAAAUUUAUGGGAUUUAUGUAUGAUUGAUUUAGGUUUUUGCAAUUUCUACAUGCCACAUUUUGAUCUUGAUUUUCACCGAGAUUGCACACAUUCUAAACUAUGCUUACAUUUUCUUUAUACUAGCUAUAUACUGAGACCUUUUCACUAAUGUUUUUCAUUGUUCACAGACGAACCACACAAGCGGAAAAGAUAAGUGUUUACCGAGUGAUUUGCAUAGUUGCAGUGUCUAUAUGACAAUAUUGAUCUGAUGGUUUAAUUUGUGAUCAUUAUAUGACUUGUAAGAAUUUGUAAUAGAGCCAAAUAAUGCUACACCUUUUGGAGGGGAUGCAUAAGUUCCACGACAUUAGUUAUGGUUAUAAAAAACCUAAUUUAAGUUUUCCAGAGGGAAAAAGGAAGAGGUAUUCACAAAUGAUUCAUGCAUGUUAUUGAAAACUAAAUUUACUAUCAGCAUGAUGGCUCCUAAUCCAGUUGUCACCGACACCAGACACAUUAGAAUUUAGAAAGUCUUCAGCUCUACUAAACCCGGCAAAGAUGAACAAAGCUUUAUUUCAAAAGUAGAUAUUGAACAACAAAUUCAAGGUUAUUCUUAUAGCCUUUGCUUGUUAUUUGUAAAAGGUUUAUAUUGCCACAGAAGGAAGAUGAGUUGUGGGUACCAAAUACAAGUCAUCUUUUCUUUUGAUGGUCGCUCCGAAUAGCUCAGUCAUGUCUAAGUCCUCACCUUUCAUUCCAUUGGGAAGCCUCCAAUCAAAAUGAUACAACAUCAAUGCAAGUGCCAUCUCAACAUUUAUCAAACCAAAUGUGCUGCCUGGGCAUAUUCUUCUUCCGGCACCGAAAGGAAUGUACUCAAAAUUACUCCCUUUGUAAUCAAUAGAGCUACCAAUGAAUCUCUCCGGAUAAAACUUCUCUGGUUCGGUCCAAUACUUUGGAUCUCGUCCAAUUGCCCAUGCAUUUACUAUCACCUUGCUUUUGAUUGGUAUAUGAUACCCAUCAAUUUCACAUGCCUGACCACAUUCUCUUGGAAGUAAAAGAGGACCUGGAGGGUGUAACCUUAGGGUUUCUUUCACAACCGACUUCAAAUAUUUGAGUUCAUUUAUACAGUUUUCACCAACAAUUCCUUUCACUUUGAAAAUUUCUCUGACCUCAUCUUGUGCUUUCUUCAUCACUCUUGGAUCCCUUACCAAUUCUGCUACUGCCCAAACUAUGGUCGAAGCUGAUGUAUCGCCUCCAGCACCAUAGAUGUUCUGAAAAGUAAAAUGCAAGACUAUCAAAGAGACAACUUAAAGAGAUAGUUAGAUGGCAUCCAAUAUGUCAACACAAGGUUUUAAUCUGCGGUUGUGUUGCAAUCCAAUAUUGAAAAAAAAAUGCAUACUUGAAUUGUGAUUCUACUGCAUUCACUAAAACAUCAAAAACCUUGAUGUCGCGGCCCAGCGCCAUUGGGCUUAGGGUGCAGAUAUAAAUGGUGGAUGUCCCGAACAAAAAUCUGAUUGCAGGCGACCCAGCAGGUCGUGGAAAGACUCUGAUACCAUCUUAUAAUUAAGAGUUUGACCUAACUCAAACUUACAAAACCGACUUGUAAGAUGAGGAUUGCCCCUCACUUAUAAACAUAUAUUCAGGCAAUCUCGCAACAAAUGCGAGACUUUUUAACAAUUUUUAUUUAAAAAAGAAACUGUUCUGCUUCAUUAUGACUCUUAAUAAAACUGUUCUAUUUCAAAGAACUCGUGAGGUAAGUAUCAAAGUUAUACAUUAAGGGGUAUAUUUUCCUUACCAGGAUUAUGGCCUUGAUAUUGUUGUCAGUUAAGCAUAUAUCUUGGUCAGUGUCACUAUCAACUUGGAAUUUUAGAAGAACAUCUACCAGAUCUUCUCCUUCACCUUGGCCUUCUUUUGCUUUUGACUUUGCUUCUUUAUGUUCAAUGACGAUGUUUUCUAGUAUCUGAUCGAUUUGCCCAUGAAACCUCUCAAGUUUAGGCCUAUAACCAGAAACACGUUGAAGCCAUUUAGCUGAAGGAAACAAUUCUGCUAAGUCAAAACCUCCUGCAAUUGAUUCUCCGUUUUCCAAAGAUGUAAACUCUUGGACUUUACAUUUGUCGCCAAACACAGCCGUUGCAAUGAUAUUAAAUGUUGAUGAAACUACAAGUUGAGUGAUGUUGAUGGAUGAUCCUUGCUGUGAAUCAAUCCUUUGGAUAAGAUUGGUGAGCUCUUCUUCUCUUAUUGGCUGGAAUGAACCGACACGUUUUUGGCUGAAAAGCUCCAUUGUGCAUAUUUUUCGUAGUUGUCUCCAAUAAUUUCCAUAAGGUGAAAAAGCAAUAUCUGUGAAUCCAUAUGAUAGUAUUUCUGUAGCUAGAAGUUUUGGCCUAGAUGCAAAUAUAACAUCAUGUGUUUUAAGUACCUCUUUAGCAUACUCUGGUGAGGAAACAACAAUUGCAGAGAUCUCUCCAAGUUGUAGGUGCAUCAAGGGCCCAUAUAUUUUGGCCAAGUCUCUUAAUUUUCUAUGUGGUGUAGAGGUAAUUAGAUGAUGUAUGUUUCCUAUAAUAGGCAACUUCCAUGGUCCUGGGGGUAGGUUUGGAGCUGAGCCUUUUUUCUUGAGAUUCUUCCCCAUUUUCAGUGCCACAAGCAUGAAGAGGAAAAAGGAGGCAAGGACUAUUAAGCCAAAAAUUGGAGAAUCCAUGGAGAUCAAACCAAUUUGAAAGGUGUAGUACAGUGCUAGCUAUCAUCAAGCUUAUAAAGGUGAAUGAUUUGAGAUUACAUGGGAUCAGGGAUGAUAGUUAAUACUCCCUGCGGCCACAAUUAUAAGCCAAAGUUCAUUUUCUAUGUUCAUCAAAUAACUGAUGUAUCUCGUAAGACCAGAUACAUCAGUUAUUCGAUUAACCUAGAAAGUGAAAUUUUGCUUAUAAUUGUAGCUAGAGGGAGUAGUUUUUUACAAUAUUAAGAAUCACGGAUACACCCGCUACAACAAUUUAAAAUCUUGAUCUUGGGUAGAUACAUUUCUUUUUUUAAGAGCUUGGGUAGAUUCAUAAAUAUACUAUUGAAUAAAAAAGGAUUUGGGACUUUGGUUUGUGUUCA